ensembl:lncRNA
CCUCACCAGGAUCCCACUUUAUAAAGGUGAAACUGACUCUGUAGAUGAAUAUUAUAAGGCAGAGGAUAAAGUAUAGAUAUUGUAAUUCUUUGUGAUGUAAUUUAUUAUUCUAUUUAUAUUAAAUCUACUUUGUUUGUCUGCAAGUUGAGCUUGAGAAGCUGAACUGUUUUAGAGAUGCCCAGGACCUAGCCUCCACCUCUUCACAACACAGAUCAGAUACCACCUGAAAUCCUGUGGUCAGUUCUGGAUUCCUUUGGAGAACAUUUUAGGAGUGGCAAAGUAAAUUGGACUCCACAGCGGGUAUGAGGAUGG